AGCUCAGGCGCGGCGAGUUCGAGGUCACCUCAACUUCAUGGAGAGUGUCUGGUGGGUGUUUGCAAAGCUCUGGGAGAAGGACCUCAUAUAUAAGGGUGUCAAGGUUGCAUCUCUAACCUUUACAAUCUCGGAACUUGCGCGUGAAGCACAUGUAGUACUUCUACGCGUAGCUGCCAUUUUGGUGGAUCAACAGCUCAAUUUAUGUAGAAGUGGAUGGUAAGGUAUGUAGAUAUUCUUCAUUAGAUUGCUCUAACUAGGGUAGGACUAUCAUCUGCAUAUGACUCUUAUGGGUAAGUGCUGAUAAAGCUUUGUUGUUUGGGUUUCAUCAGGAGAUAGGCAUAGCCCACAUGCGUUGGCACCUUUGGCGGAGAAUCUAUGACCUGUACUUAGGGAAUAGGCAAUUUGCAGUUGUUGAGAAUAAAGGAUUCUGGAACUGGACCUUUAGCCUGGUGGAUGAAGAUGACAAACUGUUGGCUCAGAUUGAUCGUAAUUGGAGGGGCACCGGCUUUGAGAUGCUGGCCAGUAUGCUAUCUGGUUUGGUGAUGAUGUACAAAGCGACAAGUUUGCUCACUUACCGUUUAUUAUAUCUGGGUAUGUGGGUGCCCACUUUUCCCAGUUAGUUAAUGUCUCACAAAAGCUCCAGACCAAAGAAUUGCAUGUUGUUCGCCAGCUGACUUUGCCUGAAAGGGCAGUGGCUCUUGCUCUCGCCAUUUCCUUGGAUAGUGAUUACUUCUCUAGAAGAGGUGGCUGGGGACUUCCGUUUCUGAUUGCCACGGAGUAGGCACACGAACCACCAUCUGCCAUAUACAAGGAAUUUCUUUAUUCUCAUUCCUGAAGAGGCUAGCAGUUACACUCAUUACUGUUGUCAGGUGAUUGGCAUCAUCGCUAGAGGCAGAAACUGUUUCUACCGUUCUGCGUGCUUCUGACUCAUUACUGUUGUUAGGAGAUUUCCGAAGCAUUACUUUCCCCUUUGUUCCUGCUAUGAAGAUGCACACAUGCGUGGCUUGUUUGGAUGGCUAUGGUCAUAUAUUCCUCUCACUCCAGAUGUGUUGAAAUAGUUUGGUGUUAGAUAUAGGCUAAACUAUUUCAUGACACAUGGAUUUAAAGAUACAUGGACAUCCAAACGCUACCGCAUUUAAGUUCUAGAACACUGGAGCCUGAUGUUUACAGUGCAACUCGUCUGCUAGGCUACUUGGAUGUGAAUGUAUAUUGACAUAUUGUUUAGGAAUUAGAUCCAUUUUGGUUAGCCUGGCUAGACAGUUAGACCUAAAAGGGCCAUUUCUGGUACUCGUUCCGACGGGAACAAAACGAGGCCUGAUGCAGCUGUCAGCUGUGAGUACUGAAUUGAUCGGCUGAUAUUUCCAAACGAUUCUGGGUCAGACAACUCGGAACAGUGGAAGGCACCUAGCUUUGUAUCAUUGUAUUCAACCAAGUGCGCACCA